AUUGAACGCUGGCGGCAGGCUUAACACAUGCAAGUCGAGCGGGGUGAUGGUGCUUGCACUAUCACUUAGCGGCGGACGGGUGAGUAAUGCUUAGGAAUCUGCCUAUUAGUGGGGGACAACAUCUCGAAAGGGAUGCUAAUACCGCAUACGUCCUACGGGGGAAAGCAGGGGAUCACUUGUGACCUUGCGCUAAUAGAUGAGCCUAAGUCGGAUUAGCUAGUUGGUGGGGUAAAGGCCUACCAAGGCGGCGAUCUGUAGCGGGUCUGAGAGGAUGAUCCGCCACACUGGGACUGAGACACGGCCCAGACUCCUACGGGAGGCAGCAGUGGGGAAUAUUGGACAAUGGGGGGAACCCUGAUCCAGCCAUGCCGCGUGUGUGAAGAAGGCCUUAUGGUUGUAAAGCACUUUAAGCGAGGAGGAGGCUCUUUUGGUUAAUACCCAGAAUGAGUGGACGUUACUCGCAGAAUAAGCACCGGCUAACUCUGUGCCAGCCGCCGCGGUAACAC
rnacentral:rRNA from 1 species